GUGAUUUGGCCGAGAGGCCUUUAUCCAAAUCCUCACACCUGUGAACUCGUCGGUGGGCUUCAGUGCCCGCCGGACAUACAAUACUAUGUGUAACGAACGUCAUGUAUAACAUAACAAAAACA
rnacentral:misc_RNA from 1 species